rnacentral:rRNA from 1 species
GAGUUUGAUCGUGGCUCAGAUUGAACGCUGGCGGCAUGCCUUACACAUGCAAGUCGAACGGCAGCAUGAUCUAGCUUGCUAGAUUGAUGGCGAGUGGCGAACGGGUGAGUAAUACAUCGGAACGUGCCCUGUAGUGGGGGAUAACUAGUCGAAAGAUUGGCUAAUACCGCAUACGACCUGAGGGUGAAAGUGGGGGACCGCAAGGCCUCAUGCUAUAGGAGCGGCCGAUGUCUGAUUAGCUAGUUGGUGGGGUAAAGGCCCACCAAGGCGACGAUCAGUAGCUGGUCUGAGAGGACGAUCAGCCACACUGGGACUGAGACACGGCCCAGACUCCUACGGGAGGCAGCAGUGGGGAAUUUUGGACAAUGGGCGAAAGCCUGAUCCAGCAAUGCCGCGUGUGUGAAGAAGGCCUCGG